UUGAACGCUGGCGGCAGGCCUAACACAUGCAAGUCGAGCGGAUGAAGGGAGCUUGCUCCUGGAUUCAGCGGCGGACGGGUGAGUAAUGCCUAGGAAUCUGCCUGGUAGUGGGGGAUAACGUCCGGAAACGGGCGCUAAUACCGCAUACGUCCUGAGGGAGAAAGUGGGGGAUCUUCGGACCUCACGCUAUCAGAUGAGCCUAGGUCGGAUUAGCUAGUUGGUGGGGUAAAGGCCUACCAAGGCGACGAUCCGUAACUGGUCUGAGAGGAUGAUCAGUCACACUGGAACUGGAACACGGUCCAGACUCCUACGGGAGGCAGCAGUGGGGAAUAUUGGACAAUGGGCGAAAGCCUGAUCCAGCCAUGCCGCGUGUUUGAAGAAGGUCUUCGGAUUGUAAAGCACUUUAAGUUGGGAGGAAGGUCAGUAAGUUAAUACCUUGCUGUUUUGACGUUACCAACAGAAUAAGCACCGGCUAACUUCGUG
rnacentral:rRNA from 1 species